rnacentral:rRNA from 1 species
UACAGAGGCCCCAAGCAUUACCCGGAAUCACUGGGCGUAAAGGGUGUCGAGGCGGCCCUAUUAGUCUCCCGUAAAAUCCGUGGGCUCAACCUACGGCCGGCGGGGGAAACGGUAGGGCUCGAGGGCGCGAGAGGUGCACGGAACUCAUGGUGGAGGGGUGAAAUCCGUUGAUAUCAUGGGGAACACCGAAAGCGAAGGCAGUGCACUGGCGCGUUCCUGACGCUCACACACGAAAGCCAGGGGAGCGAACGGG